rnacentral:lncRNA from 1 species
ACUUGUUUGUAUACAACCACGCCCGGCAGGAUGACCACCAGAUGACCGGCCGCAGCAAUGCCUCCACUCAGUCCCAGUUGGGCAAAGUUUCACUCCACUGCGGCGACGUGAACAAGAAUCACGGCUUCCUUAUCGCUGCUGUGAGGUUCUGCCAUUCAUCUUGUCCUCUUCCUGGGACUGAGUGGAUACUUGUGCCAUUUUUCAAGAUCAAGAAUAUGGAAAAAAUGACUCCUUAGCUCUUCCUAUCCCUGAGAUUCCUCGACUUUGUAAUCUAUCAAUUACACAAUUCUCCAAUGUUUAAUAAUUUUGAGCCUCAAGAAAGACAUACAUUUUGUAACUUCAAAAAUCAUGCUUACAUAAAGCUCAAUGUUUUAAAACCAGCCAAACAAAAAAUAAUAUAGCAGAAGUCUGGGAUGGGUGAGGAGGACAGUCAGAUGGUCAGCUGAAAAUAUAAUAAUUCAG